CAGCACCUCAAGUGGUCAGGAUGAUUAUUGGGCCUAAAGCAUCCGUAGCCUGCUUUGUUAGUUUUCGGUUAAAUCCAUACGCUCAACGUAUGGGCUGCCGGGAAUACUGCAAAGCUAGGGAGUGGGAGAGGUAGACGGUACUCAGUAGGAAGGGGUAAAAUCCUUUGAUCUAUUGAUGACCACCUGUGGCGAAGGCGGUCUACCAGAACACGUCCGACGGUGAGGGAUGAAAGCUGGGGGAGCAAACCGGAUUAGAUACCCGAGUAGUCC
rnacentral:rRNA from 1 species